GUCCAGAAUCAACAAUCGAUUACUCAGCAAUGUUCAAAAAAUCUUUUCCGGAUUUUAAUCAAAACAAUCGAUUAUACAGAAUCAAUAAUCGAUUACCCAUUAACGUUCAAAAAAUCUUUUCCGGAUUUUAAUCAAAACAAUCGAUUAUACAGAGUCAAUAAUCGAUUACCCAAUAACGUUCAAAAAAUCUUUUUCGGAUUUUAGUCAAAACAAUCGAUUAUACAGA
rnacentral:lncRNA from 1 species